CGUAGGGUCCAAGCGUUAUCCGGAAUCACUGGGCGUAAAGCGUGCGUAGGUGGCGCGUUAAGUGUGAUGUUAAAUCGUGGGGCUCAACCCUAUCGAUGCAUCGCAUACUGGCGUGCUAGAGGACAGCAGAGGCAAGUGGAAUUUGUAGUGUAGCAGUGAAAUGCGUAGAUAUUACAAGGAACACCAAUGGCGAAGGCAGCUUGCUGGGCUACUCCUGACACUGAGGUACGAAAGCGUGGGGAGCGAACAGGAUUACGAUACCCUGGUAGUCCACGCCGUAAACGAUGCAUACUAGACGUAUGGGGUAUCGACCCCCUGUGCGUCGAAGCUAACGCGAUAAGUAUGCCGCCUGGGAAGUACGGCCGCAAGGCU
rnacentral:rRNA from 1 species